rnacentral:lncRNA from 10 species
ACUACAGCCUCAGUGCAUGGCGGUGGGCGCUUCCAGUAACUCAGGGGUGGGACUUUUUUCUUGCUCAGGGGAUGAGGCCGAGCCCACAGGCUUAGAAAGAAGGAACUUGAGUCCGGGCACCUGUCAUCCCAGCGCUUAGGGAGGCCGAGGCGGGUGGAUCACCUGAGGUCAGGAGUUCGAGACCAGCCUGGCCAAUAUGGCGAAACCCCCGUCUCUACUAAAAAUACAAAAAUUAGCCGAGCAUGGUGGCAUGCACUUCCAGCUACUUGGAAGGCUGAGGCGGGAGAAUGGCUUGAACCUGGGAGGCGAGGGUUGCAGUGAGCUGAGAUCGCACCACUGCACUCCAGCCUGGGUGACAGAGCGAGACUUCGUCUCAAAAAAAAAGAAGAAGAAAGAAGGAAGCUGAGGUUCAGACAGGCUAAGUCCCUACUGCAGGCUGCGGAAUCUAAAAAGGUAGGUGCCAGGGUUUGCAACCCACACUUUUAUUUUGGUCUCAGGUAGCUGAUGUCAUUCCAGUCUAUGGCAAAGAAGGUGGCAAAUCCAUUAACAUAGAUGAAGAAUUUCAUUUUACUUUUUAGUUUUAUUUAUUUAUUUAUUUUUAUUAUGUAUCAUGCUUUUAAUACAAACUUUAAAAAAUCUGGAACAAUAGAAACUGUACAGAUUUGAUCAAUCUUUUUGUUUUGUUUUUAAACUAAAAUCUCUAAACACACCAAUGUCCUAUUCCAAAAUAUUGCACAACAUUCUGAAUACAAAACCCUUGAUUGUAUUCCUCCUUCACUGAAGAAAAAACUUCAUGACCCUGCUCCCCGGGCUCCUCUCCAGGCUUGCGUCAAUGCCCCCUUCCCAUCCCUAGGGAGAAAACUAGAGAAUCUAUAACUCACUGCAUUGAGAAAAAGACAUCAUUCUGGACUAACAGUUUCCAUUCUUCAGAAGAUAAUCCACCUUUUGAUUUGUUCCUGGGAAACAGGGAUAGAUAGAGGAUGGGGAAAGGGGAGAAAAGGUUUUAUUUCUCCUCUUUUUUUUUUAAAGUUUGUUUUUCCUGAAAAAAUAUGUUUCUCUCAUCUUUUUAAGAAAAAAUCUUGAAAAGAAAAAAAUUGUUUUUACGUUAGAAAUAUACAUAUAUUAUAUAUACCUCUUACAUUUUACAAAUGUAGCAAAUUAUUCAAUACAAACGGACACCAAAAAAUGUAAAAAAUAAAAAAAAGUUUUCCUAAGAACCAGGUAAAUUAGUGCAGAUUUCUGUUUUUGUUUUCUUAAAAAAAAUAAAAUUGAAGCAAAAGUGCCUAGAUUUGAGACAAGACAGACUGAACUGGGCCCAAGAGCCCAGCACUGGAGUCAUGCUCCUGAACACACAUUUUUCUUCGUAUUUCAAAAGACACAAAGGGGUUGGUCUCCCCCCCUCUCCCUACAUGUGAGAAACAAGCAGACCUGGUGUGGGUGGGUGCCUGUGUGUGUGGAUGGGAGGAGGGAUAGAAGGGGAUGUAAGGCAGCAUCCAACCUUUCCCAGAGAGAAGCUAUCUGCUGGGCCUGUCACCUGUGUGGGAGCCGAGGAUGAGGGAAAGGGUGGCCCAGACUGGGCUGGCCCCUGAGAAGUCUAGGGGAACAGAUGGUGCUGGGCUGAGAAGCCAGGACAUUGCCUGCCGGGGGAGGUAGAGCUGGUGCCUACUGCAGGGAGAGGAGGCUGGCAGUGCCGGCCUGGGCUGGACCCACUGCCAUAGCAGUUGCCUACUUGGGGUCCCUGGGUAGGAUGGAGUGGGUGGGGUGCCAGGGGCUUUGGUGCUUUCUGGUGAUGGGACCCUGAUGCCAAGUGCCCACUUUGCAAAGAUGAAAAAGUUCAUGACCCUGCUCCCUUGGCUCCUGUCCAUGCUUGCCUGGCCUCCUGGGGUUGGAGGAACAAGCUCUCUCCUGGCAGAGGCAGGAGAGAGUUUUAUUUUUUAGAAACAGUUUCGCUUUGUUGCACAGGCUGGAGUGCAGUGGUACAAUCACGGCUCACUGCAUCCUCGACCUCCCCAACUCUAGUGAUCCUCCCAUCUUAGCCUCCUGAGUAGCUGAGAUUGCAGGCAUGUGCCACCACACUGGCUAACUUUUUUUUAACUUUUAUUUUUUGUAGAGAUGAGGUGUCGCUAUGUUGCCCUGGCUAGUCUUGAACUCCAAUCCUUCCACCUCGGCCUUAAAUAAUUUUAAUAGUUGACAUGCACAUGGCAUUUACUAUUGGCCGGCAUUAUUUUAAGGUGCCUGCUCUGAAGGAAUUCUGUUAGCCUUCCUAAAUUAUUCCCUUGGCCAUUGGAAACAUAGGCAUGAGAUCAUUUUUAGAUAAUUGGAAAAGCAGAGAAAUCUGUGAAGAUAGAAUGGGAAAAAAAAUGCAUUUCACUAAACCAACAUGCCAUUGAUUGUGAGAUUCCACAUUACUUUAUGUAGCCCCACGGCUGCCCUUAAACCAUGACACAUGCUUUAUUUACAGUUCAUAUUUUACUUAUUCGUAGACCUCAAGAGGCAUUCUGUGCUUCCCUCUUCCUUCUGGAAGCUUCAUGAGAAGGGACAUUUUCCUCAAAGGAUGGACAACAGAAACAACUCAAAUAUUCAUUUCCUUUAAAUAUGGUUUUUAAGACAAUUUUCUUUAGAAAGCCACAUUUACCUGUUGGGGGUUGAUUUAUGCUCACCCCCCUCCCAAAUAUAUGUUGGAAUGCUAACCCCCUAUUCCUCAGAAUGUGACUUUAUUUGGAGACAGGUUCUUUACAGAGGUAAUAAAGUUAAAAUGAGUAAAUAGGGUGGGCCAUAACCCAAAAUGACAGCUGUCCUUAUAAAAAGGGUGCAUUUGCACGCAGAGACACGCAUAGAGAGAACAUGAUAUGUAGAGGCACAGGGAGAAGGCCGCCAUCUGCAAACCAGGGAGAGAGGCCUGGAGCAAAUUCUUCUUCAUGGCUCUUAGAAGGAACCAUCCCUGCCUACACCCUGAUUUCAGAUUUCCAGCCUCCAGAAGCGUGAGGCGAUAAAUGUCUGUUGCUGCAGCCACAGGUUGGCGGUGCUUUGCUGCAGUAGCCUUAGCACCUGAUAGAUGGUCUCUUUACAUGUCAAGCACAUUGCAGCGCACAUUUGACACACAGGGAGAUGGAAGCUCCUGGAGGAUAAGUGUUUUGUCUGUGAUUUUGAAGGUUGCAAGUGGAGGAACUGGGAUUCGAACCCCUCUCUGUGUGAUGCCUAUGCCUCCUCUGUGUUAACAUUUAUUUUUACUUAUUUUUAUUUUUUAGUUUUUGUAGAGAUGAGGGUCUCACUAUAUUGCCCAGGCUGGUCUUGAACUCCUGGGCCCAAACGAUCCUCCUGCCUUGGCCUCCUGGUCUUGGGAUUACA